GAGAAGAUGAUGUUGAAAUAAGAAUCCUAGCAAGGUUCCAAUGAUGUAAUUCAAUUUUCUUUCUUCUUACACUGCUACCUCCUUCUUCUUCCUCUUUAGUGUUAUUUAGCAUGUAGGUGAUGUUCUUUGUGAUUGACAUUAUGUGUAUGAAUGUGUAAAGAGCUGAGAGGAUUUGAUGAGAGGGAUGAAGAUUGAGAGUUUUGUAGAGUGUUGUGAGGAUUUUAGCAGUGAUAGGAAAAUGAUUUAAGGUGAUUGAAUAUGAUGAUUUUUGUGUUCCAAUCAAUCGACCCCCCAAUUUGAGAGUGAUUAAUGAUUAUAUAAGAGUUUGAGUGUAAUCGAAUUGGGCAACUCGGGUAGAAGUUAGGGCAUAAUUUGUUCUGUUAAAGUUCACAGUGUAAGUUAGUUAAGGGUUAUAACUUUGUUAGAAUUCAGUUAAGUUAGUUGCGUAAGUUUGUUUGGUGUUUCUCAACUUUUGUUAAUUAUGUUAGGAGCUGUUAAUGAGAUGAAUGUUAAUGAAGUGAGAUGAGUUAAUGUGAAAUGCUUAGUUAGAGGGAAUUUAUGUAGUUAUGUUGUUGUUAUUGUAUUAAGUUUGAUUAUCAUUGGCUUGAGUUAUGAGUGUUAACAAUAUUGACUAGUUGUUUUUACAAUUAGAAGAAUUU
rnacentral:lncRNA from 1 species